GCAGUUUUCCCCAGCAGAGGAGGAGGCGCGUUGUCUCGACACGGCAUCCUGCCCUGCAACCGGAGGCUGUGGCUACCUAUCCAGUAGCUUCUUGAAAACCAAUACAAAAUAGAGGAUAAAUUCCUUAAGACUUAAAGAAAGGAAUGAAAAGUGUGAAAAGAAAGAAACAGACAAUACACAGAAAAUAAAAGAGAUACACUGGUGGACCCUGUGAAAU